rnacentral:rRNA from 1 species
ACAGUGUCUGGUGGGUAGUUUGACUGGGGCGGUCUCCUCCUAAAGAGUAACGGAGGAGCACGAAGGUUGGCUAAUCCUGGUCGGACAUCAGGAGGUUAGUGCAAUGGCAUAAGCCAGCUUGACUGCGAGCGUGACGGCGCGAGCAGGUGCGAAAGCAGGUCAUAGUGAUCCGGUGGUUCUGAAUGGAAGGGCCAUCGCUCAACGGAUAAAAGGUACUCCGGGGAUAACAGGCUGAUACCGCCCAAGAGUUCAUAUCGACGGCGGUGUUUGGCACCUCGAUGUCGGCUCAUCACAUCCUGGGGCUGAAGUAGGUCCCAAGGGUAUGGCUGUUCGCCAUUUAAAGUGGUACGCGAGCUGGGUUUAGAACGUCGUGAGACAGUUCGGUCCCUAUCUGCCGUGGGCGCUGGAGAAUUGAGGGGGGCUGCUCCUAGUACGAGAGGACCGGAGUGGACGCAUCACUGGUGUUCGGGUUGUCAUGCCAAUGGCACUGCCCGGUAGCUAAAUGCGGAAGAGAUAAGUGCUGAAAGCAUCUAAGCACGAAACUUGCCCCGAGAUGAGUUCUCCCUGACCCUUUAAGGGUCCUGAAGGAACGUUGAAGACGACGACGUUGAUAGGCCGGGUGUGUAAGCGCAGCGAUGCGUUGAGCUAACCGGUACUAAUGAACCGUGAGGCUUAACCUU